AGUCGAACGGUAACAGGAAGCAGCUUGCUGCUUCGCUGACGAGUGGCGGACGGGUGAGUAAUGUCUGGGAAACUGCCUGAUGGAGGGGGAUAACUACUGGAAACGGUAGCUAAUACCGCAUAACGUCGCAAGACCAAAGAGGGGGACCUUCGGGCCUCUUGCCAUCGGAUGUGCCCAGAUGGGAUUAGCUAGUAGGUGGGGUAACGGCUCACCUAGGCGACGAUCCCUAGCUGGUCUGAGAGGAUGACCAGCCACACUGGAACUGAGACACGGUCCAGACUCCUACGGGAGGCAGCAGUGGGGAAUAUUGCACAAUGGGCGCAAGCCUGAUGCAGCCAUGCCGCGUGUAUGAAGAAGGCCUUCGGGUUGUAAAGUACUUUCAGCGGGGAGGAAGGCGAUAAGGUUAAUAACCUUGUCGAUUGACGUUACCCGCAGAAGAAGCACCGGCUAACUCCGUGCCAGCAGCCGCGGUAAUACGGAGGGUGCAAGCGUUAAUCGGAAUUACUGGGCGUAAAGCGCACGCAGGCGGUCUGUCAAGUCGGAUGUGAAAUCCCCGGGCUCAACCUGGGAACUGCAUUCGAAACUGGCAGGCUAGAGUCU
rnacentral:rRNA from 1 species